CCUCUCUUUGGGCUCAAACUCAUCAAACUGAUCUGCUCCCAUGGUGGAGAUGUUGGGUUUGGUUAAAAUACAAUAGCCAUAUUAAUAUAUACAAUAUAUUAUAUAUUAAAUAUAUAGUUUUGUAUUAUUAUUCUAUAUAAGUUAAAAAAAAAGUUUUAGCCAUUAUUUAUUUUUAUUAUGAGAGUUCAUUAUUAUCAUUACUAGGAUAAAUUUUACUUAAUAUGUUGUUGUUCAAAAUUAAAAUAAACUAGUAUAGUAUUUGUAUAUACAAGAACUAAAAAGACAUACAUACAAGUAUGAAAAAUGUGAAAGAAUAUAUAAACACUUAUGAUUCAUCAUUAUUCCUCCAUGAGUAGAUAAUGGUUACACUUACAUUAUCGCUUAGAUUUUUAAAAUUCUUCAAACCCUCAUGAAUAAUGUUUUUUAUAUAAGGGAAAAAUUAAUAAUAAUCAUUGUGGAAGUGUAAAAAAAUGUAAAAAAAAAAUAUACAAUCACUUAUAAUGACAAGCUUUACAACUUUCAUGAAGGGGUCAGCUUCGAAAUCCAACACUAUAAUUCAUAAACCUUAAAUUUAUAUUUAACUGUCGGUUGUUAUUUACGCUUUAUUCUUGUUACUGAAUUUCAUUUUUAAAAUUUUCUUUUCUGAAAACAUGAUCAUCUGGCGGAUGUAAGAAGAUGAACACUUCAGAUAUUUGAUAUCACAUUUCGAUUUUUACGGUUAACUGAAAUAUGAGUCGAUGUCAUAUAGUUUGUAGAAACUUUAUAAACAUCAAGCAAUAAUCUGUCGAAGAUUUCUUGUGAAGUAGAAGGCACGUGAAGUUUACUGUUAAAUCAUCCAACGGUUGCCAAUAAGUGUGAAAGAAUAGUACCGGUUAUUAAUUCCUAUAAAUGUUAACCUUCACCCUCCAUUGCAAGCCAGACAUACAUAACCUUUCUUCAUCUCCGAGAAUGCCUUCCCAACGAAGCAUCUCGAGUCACUCAGUGUUCUUUAUUCCUUAGGGUACCUCUGCGAACAACUCAUCCAAAGCAAAAGUAUUUCAUAUCAUGAAGGUUGAAAGCAAAAUUAUGUCAUAUCAUGCUUUCUCCAUGUCCUUCUCCUUGUCGUUGUUUUCAUUUACGAGACAAGGAGAAAGAGAGCAAUCAGCCAUCACUUGGUAUCAAUCUUCCGAUCUGGAAUCGACUGCCUGGAACCUCUUCCUGAUUGCUUACCUAGCCUUGCUCUCGAGUACUCAUCUUCAACAUCUUAUGCUUCCUCUUGAUCUACCACAUCUGCC
rnacentral:lncRNA from 1 species